AGUGAACGCUGGCGGUAGGCCUAACACAUGCGAAUCGAACGGCAGCACAGUAAGAGCUUGCUCUUACGGGUGGCGAGUGGCGGACGGGUGAGGAAUACAUCGGAAUCUACUUUUUCGUGGGGGAUAACGUAGGGAAACUUACGCUAAUACCGCAUACGACCUACGGGUGAAAGCAGGGGAUCUUCGGACCUUGCGCGAUUGAAUGAGCCGAUGUCGGAUUAGCUAGUUGGCGGGGUAAAGGCCCACCAAGGCGACGAUCCGUAGCUGGUCUGAGAGGAUGAUCAGCCACACUGGAACUGAGACACGGUCCAGACUCCUACGGGAGGCAGCAGUGGGGAAUAUUGGACAAUGGGCGCAAGCCUGAUCCAGCCAUACCGCGUGGGUGAAGAAGGCCUUCGGGUUGUAAAGCCCUUUUGUUGGGAAAGAAAAGCAGCAGGUUAAUACCCCGCUGUUCUGACGGUACCCAAAGAAUAAGCACCGGCUAACUUCGUG
rnacentral:rRNA from 1 species